rnacentral:rRNA from 1 species
CCUACGGGAGGCAGCAGUGGGGGAUAUUGCACAAUGGGGGAAACCCUGAUGCAGCGACGCCGCGUGGGUGAAGAAGCGCCUCGGCGCGUAAAGCCCUGUCAGCAGGGAAGAAAAUGACGGUGCCUGACGAAUAAGCCUCGGCUAACUACGUGCCAGCAGCCGCGGUAAUACGUAGGGGGCAAGCGUUAUCCGGAUUUACUGGGUGUAAAGGGGGCGCAGACGGUGUUGCAAGUCAGGAGUGAAAGCCCGGGGCCCAACCGCGGGAGUGCUCUGGGAACUGGGUGGCUAGAGUGCAGGAGGGGAAGGUGGAAUUCCAGGUGUAGCGGUGAAAUGCGUAGAUAUAACGAAGAACACCGAUUGCGAAAGCAGCCUACUAAACUGCAACUGACACUGAUGCUCGAAAGUGUGGGUAUCAAACAGGAUUAGAUACCCCAGUAGUC